rnacentral:rRNA from 1 species
AGAGGAAGUAAAAGUCGUAACAAGGUUUCCGUAGGUGAACCUGCGGAAGGAUCAUUACCGAGAGGAGGACCUCGCGUCCCCGGGGGGCUUCGGCCCCCACUCUUCACCCUGUGCGUACCCACCGUUGUUGCUUCGGCGCGCGGUCCGCGCCGGUGGUUCCGGGCAUUCACCCCGGGCGCCUUCCCGCGGCCCCGCCGGAGGCCUUCCAAACCCCGUCAUCAGUGUCGUCUGAGGAGAAAUCCAAUAACUAAAAACUUUCAACAACGGAUCUCUUGGUUCUGGCAUCGAUGAAGAACGCAGCGAAAUGCGAUAAUUAAUGUGAAUUGCAGAAUUCAGUGAAUCAUCGAAUCUUUGAACGCACAUUGCGCCCCUUGGUAUUCCGAGGGGCAUGCCUGUUCGAGCGUCAUUGCAACCUUCAAGCACCGCUUGGUACUGGGUUUCGUCCGCAGGGGCGUGCCCGAAAGACAGUGGCGGUCCGGUCGGGGCCCCGAGCGCAGUAGAUAACCUUUCGCUCCGGGCGCUCCCGCCGCGGCCAGCCAGCCAACAGCCCCCCGAUUUUCAAUGGUUGACCUCGGAUCAGGUAGGGAUACCCGCUGAACUUAAGCAUAUCAAUAAGCGGAGGAAAAGAAACCAACAGGGAUUGCCCCAGUAACGGCGAGUGAAGCGGCAACAGCUCAAAUUUGAAAUCUGGUCCCCCCGGGGCCCGAGUUGUAAUUUGCAGAGGAUGUUUCGGGCGCGGCGCCGGUGUAAGUUCCUUGGAACAGGACGUCGUAGAGGGUGAGAAUCCCGUAUGCGACCGGCGAUCAACCCCAUGUGAAACCCCUUCGACGAGUC